GUCGGGGGACGGGGCUACAAGCCGUCGCUGGGGGCGGGGCUUGCGGCCCACCUGUAGGUCCCGGUGCCACCUCGUCAGUGUCCCGAGAGAUCCCCAGAAGAACGAGAGGGCUGAACAGGGGACCCCACUGACGUCCGGUGGGCCGACUUUACGAUCCUUUAGGAUGAAGAAACUAAGACUCAGAGAAGACAAAUGACAUGCCCAAAGACACAUUGAUAAGAACGCAUCUGGUAGUGGUGUUCGAGUCCAGCGUUGCAGCAGAGAGAUGGAAUAAGGACAAUGAGAGCCAGCAAGCAGGGAAGUGGAGCAAGGAUGGUGCCGUCCGGCUGCUCAGCUGCUGGCUGGAACUCCCGGAGGACUCUGUGAGGAUGCAGGUAGAAGGUGUGUAAGCAUGUGACUGCAUGGAAGCCCUCGGCAUGUGAUCCACUCCGUGUUCCAAAUUGCCAUCCUUUCUGCGUGCUGUUAGGGACUUCCCCCAGCUCUCCCUGCAGAGUGAGGAGUACUCUGAGACAGACGGGUCUAGGAUGAACUGUGUUGAUGGAGAAAUGAACAUUUUUUGGAGGGAAGGAAGAUUUCGGGGUGUGGGGCAUAAGUUGAAGGAGUAUGGCUCUGAAAGUCCUUGGGCAGUUUGUAGAGGACAGAGAAGGUGGUAAUGUCAGUUUCUGCCCCUCUCCCACCUCCACCUCUGGCCUUCUCAGUGGUCCUAUGGCUCCCUACCUUCAGUCAUCUUGUUCUCAAGCCUGAAGUGCUGGAUCCACUCAGCUGCAACCCAGCUCAACACCUCUGUGGAAGCUUUGCCCAUCAAUCAGGAGAAGCUGAGAUCCAGAGACUGAUGCCCACGUUCUGUCUUUGCAGAGGGAAGCCCACCAGAGCCCUCUUCUCUCUGGGGAGGAGCUGGCUCCCUGAAUCUCCAAGACAAACCCAGACAGCCCUGGGGACCUUGAAUGUGAGCAAGGGGAGCAGAAAGGAGGCUCCAGCCCACCCAGGGCCCCUGCAGGGUCUGCACACACAAUUACAGGUCCUCAUUUCCCUCUCCUAAUGAUGCCCCAAAACAUUAAGGGAAGUUAAAUCAAACCACCAGGUGUCCAGCAUGAACAGCUGAAAUAAUAAAUUCACGAGAUUUGAAUCCAAAUAACUGAUGAUUUGUUCCAUGAAUGCCAGAGCUGGAAGGGAUGGGGUUGGCAGAAGAGACAAGACUGGACCAUGGACCUGGUGGUUCUGUGCAGAGGCCAAAGCUACUCUCCUUCCCACCUGGCCCUGUGCUGGGCCUAACCUGGAGCCCCCUCUAUCCUCUGCCUCAUUCUUCUCCGGGUCAAGGUCCAGCAUGAACUCCAUGUCCUCCAGGAAGCCCUGGUGGACUUGGGCAGACCUGGGGACACGUCCAGCCUCCUGGCAAGAUGGGGGUAACAGGAGUGUGUAUAAAGGGGAAGGCAAGAAUGUGCCCUUGGUGGAGCAGUGAAAAGAAGCCCUCAUGUGACAAGUGUUUUGCUCCUAACCCACCUCCUCUGGUGACAUCUUCUGGGUUAACUGCUCUUGCUGAUCUCUGCACAUAAACCAAGCUAACUGUGAGAGGCCUUUCAUUUCUAGUUUAAAGCAAGGAGACCACAGUUCCUUCUGAACACUCACCCCCAAGGAGAUAAGGAGGGCGUCCCAUGAGCAACACUGUGUGUUAAAGAUGUACACGAGCACUGGGACCUGACCAAGGACAAACACGUCUCCAGCCCCCUCAGACCCUUGCUGCUGCUCAGAUGUCCGCUGUCAUCGGUCACAUCCUAACCUCAACCCCCUCUCUCCUCCCACAUAAAAGGAGGCUGAAAUUCAUAGUAACUUCAGAUGGUUCUUUAGGACACUGGCCCACCACCUUCUCGGUUGCUGGCUCUCCAAAACAAAGCCCCCUCCCUUGACCCAAUUCCUUGUUUCUUGACGUACUGGCUGUUGUGCAGUGCAUGGUACCGGCUUGAACUCGGUUAUGUUGGCAUGGCCUCUGGCGGUGCUCAGUUUGUGUGGAUGAGUAUUUUACAGCUACUGUCCUAUUUCCAGUCCCCUUCCUCUGGACGGCUAUGGGAUGUGCUGUGGAUGCCCUCUCUUAGGCUGGAAUAAACCACCCUACCUUCUCCUCUGCCUUGUCUCCACCAAAUAAACUCCUUAAGGCAGGGAUAGAGUCUUGCACUCCACGAAGAAGUAUUGCUGCAUCCUCAGCUGUGUAAGAGUGACCGGGCUUCUUCUAUUCCACCUGUAAUGGAACUUUAGGCACGCAGAGAGAGAUGGCAAAUUUGUGCUGGCUGAAGGGGUCAGCAAAUGCAUAUAAGGCUUCUUGUGCUCCAGAGAGAGAAUGGAGUGCAGUCAGUGAGACCCUGAGGGGAGAAGGAACCAAAAGCCUGGGCAGAAGGGAUCGUGGAGGUGCCCAGGGUCAGGAGGGAUGGGAAGGGUGAGGAACACAAGAGAUCACCUGGAGGCAUUAGAGGAGAAGGCAGGCACUGGGGAUGGUGCCGCUGAUCCAGGUGGAGCAACAUCCUAGGACCCGAGUGCUGGGCAGGUGCAUCCGUGGAGGGAAGCUUCUCUCCUCUCUCGGCUCCUGCUGAGAGAGGCAAUCAUUCCCCUGGCUUGCCCUGCAAGAGACAGGAGCUCUAGGUAGAUCUCUGCUAUCUAGGGAAUAGAAUGUGAAUAUUUGAAAGUUCUAGAGGUCAAGUCUUAGGUUCCCUCUCAGCUCAGAUCCCAAAUGGUACACUCUACCCUAACCCCCUUUUCUUGUAGCUUUGCUACAUGGAGAGGAAAAUACCUUGCCAGACACCAACAGUCCCUUCUCAGCACUUUUGUGUGAAGACAACUCAGACCCUAAGAGAAUGGGGUCUAAUUUGCAGGUGCCACUGGAAGGCAGAGGUCACGGGAGCCCUGGACUUCAGACAAGGUAGAGGGAUCCUGGAGACAGCACAUCUGGCCCUGGAGCCCUGCCCACCCGGGGAGUGAGGGCAGCUCUCCUGCUCUCCUAGGAGGCCUGCCCGAGGACCCCCAUGUCCUCUAUGUGUGGGAUUCUGCAGUUUGCACUCACAACCCAGAGCCUUUUACCCAACUACCCUGUUUGUAGGAAUGUGUCCAAAAUAAGCAUCAGACAAGUACAUGAAGAUGAAUGUGCAAAGACGUUCAUAACAGGAUUGUUUAUAAUCAUGAAAAAUGAUCUGCAGAUUUCCUGUCUGCUGUGCAGGAUGAGUUAGACGGGGAUGCAUCCAUAAAAUCACUUUGCCCUCAUUUAAAAUUAUAUCAUAGAUCUAUGUUUAAUGACAUAGUAAACGGUACUCAAUGCAUUAAGUGAAAAAAGCAUAUACAUAUCAGGAUGUAUAUGAUCAAGUUUUUGUUAAAUGGAUGCAUGUAUGCAUGUCAGUAACUGUCUGUGUUUGCAAACAAAACGUCUAGCAAGACGUGCAUCAAAUAUUAACAAUCAUUAUCUUUGGAUUCUGGAUUUAUUGACUUCUAUUUUUGACUUUGCCCUUUGUUUUUCUAUGUUAUCUGACACUUUUACACUGAGUUUAUAUUAUUUUU
rnacentral:lncRNA from 1 species